UGGAUUUUGGUUUAGGCGGCUUAGGGCGAGGACGUUCUUCACGUUCCUCAUUUGUUGUUUGGUGGUAUACAACGGUUCGAGUCGCUUGAAUCCGC
rnacentral:tRNA from 1 species